rnacentral:rRNA from 1 species
UGGGGAAUCUUGCGCAAUGGGAGCAAUCCUGACGCAGCAACGCCGCGUGGGUGAUGAAGGUCUUCGGAUCGUAAAGCCCUGUCGGAGGGGAAGAUGCUUGGAACGUCUAAUAGAUGAGCCAGGUGACGGUACCCUCAAAGGAAGCACCGGCUAACUCUGUGCCAGCAGCCGCGGUAAUACAGAGGGUGCAAGCGUUGUUCGGAAUUAUUGGGCGUAAAGGGAGUGUAGGCGGUCUGUUAAGUCUUCUGUGAAAUCUACGGGCUUACCCUGUAAAGUGCAGAGGAAACUAGCAGGCUUGAGUGUCGGAGAGGAUAGGGGAAUUCCCGGUGUAGAGGUGAAAUUCGUAGAGAUCGGGAGGAACACCAGUGGCGAAGGCGCCUAUCUGGCUGACACUGACGCUCAUGCACGAAAGCGUGGGGAGCAAACAGGAUUAGAUACCCCUGUAGUCCCUGAGCGGGCUGGCAAGGCGCAU